CGCGUAGGUGGUUUUGCAAGUCAGAAGUGAAAGGCUACGGCUCAACCGUAGUAAGCUUUUGAAACUGCAAGACUAGAGUGCAGGAGAGGUAAGUGGAAUUCCUAGUGUAGAGGUGAAAUUCGUAGAUAUUAGGAGGAACACCAGUGGCGAAGGCGACUUACUGGACUGUAACUGACACUGAGGCACGAAAGCGUGGGGAGCAAACAGGAUUAGAUACCCUGGUAGUCC
rnacentral:rRNA from 1 species